UCCCUCAGAGAAAGCACCAGCCCUUGGCUGUUGUUCCCUGACGCUUCUUAUGUUGUGCAGUGCUGGUCUCCUGCUUUAAGGGACGUGCUGCGACUGGACCCCUGGCUGCCCCUCAGUGUCUGCCUCUCAGUGAAGGUGCUUCAAACCACCCACUUCAAGAGUCAUCAAGAUAUUUGGAAGACAAGCAACGAAUGUGUGUCUUUACUGGAGCACCAUCCAACACAGAAGUGCAGACUCUCCUAAUUCUUCCUAGUCUAGAAGCCGUGUAGACAGCGAAGACUUAAGUACAGUGGAGGGAAGGGCCAGCUGAAGACAUCUUUGACUCUGGGCCCUGGGCUAAUUUACUUUACGCUUCAGGAUCAUUACCUGCCAAACAGGGAUCUUGGUCCUGCAAAUCUCAUGGGGUUCUAAGAAGCAAACAAAGGUGUGGCUGGCAAAGCACCCCAAAGUCUUCUGUCUUGGGGUUAUCAUUGCUGCGAUGGAACACCUUGACCAAAGCGACUUGGGGAAGAGAGGAUUUAUUCGGCUUGUGUCCACGUCACUGUUCAUCACUGAAAGAAGUCAGGACAGGAGCUCAAACAGGACAGGAACCUGGAGGCAGGAGCUGAUGCAGAGAUGAUGGAUGGGUGCUGCUUAUUGGAUUGCGCCUCGUGGCUUGCCUGGCCUGCUUUCUUAUAGAACCCAGGACCACGAGCCUAGGCAUGGCACCAACCACAAUGGGCUGGGCCAUCCCUCAUUAAUCACCAAUUAAGAACAGGGACAGGCUUGCCUACAGCCUGAACUUAUAGACACAUCUUCUCAGCUGAAGAUCCCUACUGUGAGAUGACUCUAGUUUGUGUCAAAUUGACAUAAAACUAGCCAGCAUAAUUAUAGAGGAAUUAUUAUGGGUUUUCCCACCAGAUCUGCAGCUUCUGGGAGGAGGGGCAGUGCCUUAGAAUUUUUCAGUAUUUGUAAAACCCACACGAGGCAACUAAAAUCCAAAGCUCUGGUCCUGACUCGGGUUUUCCCACCAGACAAAUGUGUCAGAAGUGAAUCUGGGUCCUCCUGAAAAAGACUGUCAGGCAAGAACCUGAUCACAAGUGGUCGUAUAUAAGGAGAUGCAUUAGGAAACGGCGGGGGCAGUAAUAUGGAGUGCGGGUUCAGCGUAAGGUUAUAUGAGGUGUGGCCUUAGCAGGGCUGAAAGAAGACUGGUUCAAGGUAAGCAGAGCUAACAGCAGAAGGAAGGUCCCGUCCGGAUGCCAUUAUCCAAGGCCCUGAUGAUUAUGCCUGACGCCUAGCUCAGACUUCAUUUUGUUAUUUAAGGCAGAGGCUCGCUCAUUUCCUUUCUUUCCUUCCUUCCCUUUUCCGCUCCUUCCUUCUCUUCUUCUCUCUCUCUUUUGAGACGGGGUCCCAAUUUGCAAAGUCAGUUAAGCUGGCCUUGAACUCAGAUCUACCUGCCUCUGCUGCCUGAAGGCUGAUAUUAAAGGUGAGUUCUGUCAUACUUAAUCAUAACCUCACUAUUUAAACCUGGCUGGUCUGAAACUCACUUUGUAGACAAGGCAAACUUGUAGCAAUGCUCCUGCCUCUUGAUGCAGAGAUUACAACACACAGGGUUUAGAAUAGGCCCCUGGAUUGGAGCUGGUGCGAGCAGAGCGUUUGUUUCCUGUUUAUGACACAGAUUCUGAGUCCAUUAGCUUUCACCUUGAGGCUUUUCUCGCCUCCUCCCUUUGUAGAUCAUCACUUCAUCUACAUUCUGGCAGUGUCUGGCCAUGUGGGGUGCAGUCCACUUAACAACUGACUGCUCGGUUAGUUUACAGAUGUGUCUCUGCUACAAAGUUGUGACUCUGACAAAGGGCUGGAACUGACCAUCUCUGUAUCCUCAGCGUACAGGAGAAGCUGAGACUAUACCAGACGGUGCAAGUCACGGUAUCCUCAAUUGCAGGCAAUACGGAUUAAGCCAUUGCAGGCAAUACGGAUUAAGUACACGUUGGCCAAUAGAAACCUGAUAAGGGGUCUAAAAUCCAUCUUACAUGAAAAUGGAAGAACCAAAGGAAAAAAGAAAAGUAAGUAAGUAAGUAAAUAAAUAAACAAUAAAGAAAACAGAAGAACCAGAAGUCUUUUUUGAAGAGAACACUUCUGAGAAUCCACUUGCUGAUUCUGCAGACUGUUUCUGGGCAUCUCCUCUGUGGAAGGCCUGGGCUGGGGAUGAGGAAGCCACGGGUGCACAGCUACCACCCCGACAGCAGCGCUCGCAGUCUGGAUGGUGUUGACACACAAAUUAGGAACUAUGACUCAGUGUGCUCAGGGCCACAGGCAGGCAUGAAGGUGCCCAGGGAAGGCUUCUAGAUGAUGCUGCAGAAGGGCACAAUUGUGACAAUGUUGGUAACAGAGUUCAGUUUAUGAUAAACUUAUCUUUUAAUAAGAUUGAUUGCUUUUGAAAUGUAUGUGUUUGUCUGGACACAGUGGUUCCAAACUUUAAUCCCGGUAAUGGGGAGACAGAGGCAGGCCAAUUUUGUGGAUAGGUGUCUAGCCUGGUCUACGUAGCAAGUUCCAACUCAUCCAAGGCUACAUACUGUGACUCUGUCUCAAAACAACCACAGUAAUAAAAAUGUAUGCAUA
rnacentral:lncRNA from 1 species